rnacentral:rRNA from 1 species
CCUACGGGAGGCAGCAGUGAGGAAUAUUGGUCAAUGGACGAGAGUCUGAACCAGCCAAGUAGCAUGAAGGAUGACUGCCCUAUGGGUUGUAAACUUCUUUUAUAAAGGAAUAAAACGAGGCACGUGUGCCUUUUUGCAUGUACUUUAUGAAUAAGGAUCGGCUAACUCCGUGCCAGCAGCCGCGGUAAUACGGAGGAUCCGAGCGUUAUCCGGAUUUAUUGGGUUUAAAGGGAGCGUAGAUGGGUUGUUAAGUCAGUUGUGAAAGUUUGCGGCUCAACCGUAAAAUUGCAAUUGAUACUGGCAGUCGUGAGUACAGUUGAGGUAGGCGGAAUUCGUGGUGUAGCGGUGAAAUGCUUAGAUAUCACGAAGAACCCCGAUUGCGAAGGCAGCUUACUAAACUGUGACUGACAUUGAUGCUCGAAAGUGUGGGUAUCAAACAGGAUUAGAUACCCCAGUAGUC